GCAGGGGACUUGGCCUCACAAAGGACACAGUGAGACGAGUCCUUCAGGGCGGGGCUGCCAGGAAACAGCCAUAGCUUUGCUGGAAGAGGGACAGGAGACAAUGACAAUUGAUCGAAGCCUCCAGCCCCUCCUGGGAGAGUUUGGCUGUUUCUUUGGCCUUGUCCUGAUCUUUCCUGGACUUACCUCUGUCAUCCAGCUGGAUUUGCAGUGCUGGCUCAAAUUGCUACUUGAAACCAGGGCCAGACCAGGCAUGUGGGCACCUCUGGCGAGCUUGUAACUUGACAUGCCGUCAAAAUAAGGCACUUUAAAUGUUUGCACAAUGAAAACUUACUAGGGCCAGACAGAAACGACAAACAGAUUUCCUUUAUUAUUCCUUUUCAUUGGCCAAGGAAUUCAUGUCUAAAAAAAUUUUUAAAUCAAAAUAUCUGGUAAAACAUGCUCCAUUAUUUUCAAUAAUUCUCCUUCUCUUAAGAUAUCUUUCCUGUAGUUUCUUAAAGAAGGUAACUCUUAGGAGGCAUAUCCAAUAAUUUGAAAUAUAAACAACAAAACUCAUUCUUAAUUCAUAGCACCACAUUGUACUUUAUUUGUUUCCAAAAUUUCUACUGGCCUCAGCUGUCAGCUUUUAGCAUAUGUAAAUGGACGUGAGCACAAUUAAUGCUCAGAGAAGGAUGGAAAUUCUACCUAAGUGAGAAAAAUGAAUGGAUACUCCAGGUCUUACCCACCAAGGUCAGAGUAACAGUCAUUUAUACCCACACAGUAAGGUGAGGAAGGGUUUGGGGGACCUGAGUUAGCCAGGUAGAUAUUGGUGACAGUUUUGUGCCAUCAGACAGCUGCCCAGCAGGCACAUCCCCUUCUUUAUCUGUUUUAGAAGAACCUUCCUCCCUUUCCUUCCACUCUGGCUCCCACCCUCACCCAUGACUCUUCCUCUUCACUCUAAUUCUUGGACCACUGUGCACAGUCUGGGCAUGUCUCCUAUGAUGAGUUCCUGAAUGCAUUCUUGCUACUUCGACAGCUAUAAAGUGUGUGUUUGGGAAGCAGGAAUGUUGGAUAAGAUGGUGGGAAAGAAAGGGGCCAGAGAACACAAGAAACAAGCACCCCCGCUGUUCAGGCCUCUUCGUUCCAGGGUUGGAAGGAAGAUGCUCCACAACGAUCUUCAGGGCAGAGUCACCCUGCUGUUCUGACAUCCAUCAAGCCGGGCCUGACUUCUCAAGAUUGCUGGCUGUCCCAAGAGAGCAGGUGGCAUAGGCAGUAUCCACAGGUCCAUCUCUCUCCCAGGAGAAGAGAUUAGAAGCAGGGAUCUGCCACCUUUCUGACAAGCAAAGGAAGCAACCAAAGCCUGCAAGGAAGACCAAACUGUCUACUAGAAUAAUUAAGGUCAGAAAGAUCACAAUUCCACCAAGGACAGAAAACAUAAAGACCCUUGAAAUACCUGCUGUGAUUUGGGAAAUGAUUUUGUACAGAUUUUCUAGUAGGAAAAUCCAUGCUGAGAUGUAGAGAGAAGAGAAUUAUGAACAGAAAAAAACAUGUGUGACUCGCAAGGUAGUGGCAAAGCACGACCCCUCGGAACAUCUAAGUGCCACCCUGAACAGGUGUAGACAUGCCCCUUGGGGGAUAUGAGGAAUUGAUUAGGAUCUACUGUACAUUUAGAAUAGUGUCUGAAAAUGGCAUCAUGGAGCUAUUAUUGUUAUUUUAAAUAAAUAAAGUUAGAGAUGAUUCUGAAAGA
rnacentral:lncRNA from 1 species